rnacentral:rRNA from 1 species
UAGGGAAUCUUCCGCAAUGGGCGAAAGCCUGACGGAGCAACGCCGCGUGAGUGAUGAAGGUCUUCGGAUCGUAAAACUCUGUUAUUAGGGAAGAACAAAUGUGUAAGUAACUAUGCACGUCUUGACGGUACCUAAUCAGAAAGCCACGGCUAACUACGUGCCAGCAGCCGCGGUAAUACGUAGGUGGCAAGCGUUAUCCGGAAUUAUUGGGCGUAAAGCGCGCGUAGGCGGUUUUUUAAGUCUGAGGUGAAAGCCCACGGCUCAACCGUGGAGGGUCAUUGGAAACUGGAAAACUUGAGUGCAGAAGAGGAAAGUGGAAUUCCAGGUGUAGCGGUGAAAUGCGCAGAGAUAUGGAGAAACACCAGUGGCGAAGGCGACUGUCUGGUCUGUAACUGACGCUGAUGUGCGAAAGCGUGGGGAUCAAACAGG